GGCGUGGUGGCCAAGUGGUGAGGCGUUGGUCUCGUAAAGGUCAUGGGUCCAACCCCCAUCCAUGCCU
rfam:Tetraodon nigroviridis, WGS project CAAE01000000 data, contig: CNS0BVFA, chromosome: undetermined